rnacentral:rRNA from 1 species
GUGGGGAAUAUUGGACAAUGGGGGGAACCCUGAUCCAGCCAUGCCGCGUGUGUGAAGAAGGCCUUUUGGUUGUAAAGCACUUUAAGCGAGGAGGAGGCUACCGAGAUCAAUACUCUUGGAUAGUGGACGAUACUCGCAGAAUAAGCACCGGCUACCUCUGUGACAGCAGCCGCGGUAAUACAGAGGGUGCAAGCGUUAAUCGGAUUUACUGGGCGUAAAGCGCACGUAGGUGGCCAAUUAAGUCAAAUGUGAAAUCCCCGAGCUUAACUUGGGAAUUGCAUUCGAUACUGGUUGGCUAGAGUAUGGGAGAGGAUGGUAGAAUUCCAGGUGUAGCGGUGAAAUGCGUAGAGAUCUGGAGGAAUACCGAUGGCGAAGGCAGCCAUCUGGCCUAAUACUGACACUGAGGUGCGAAAGCAUGGGGAGCAAACAGGAUUAGAAACCCGUGUAGUCC